CAAUAGAAGAGCUUGCUGCGUUCCAGAACUUCUGGUGCGAUUGCGAUCCAUUCAGUCGGGAGCUCGCAGGGACUGUUUCAGCGCAACUAGAGGUAUUGUCACAUCUUCCACAAGCUUCAUAGAUGUGCACAGAAUGAAGGCUGGAGGCCGGAGAAAGCCACUGGAUUUGUGAAAGCCUGAGCAAAAAGCUACAUUCUUUUCUACGAAGCCACUCCAAGAUAUCAAAGAAGGACGCUCUUAUUCUUUUUUGA